UACGUAGGUCCCGAGCGUUGUCCGGAUUUAUCGGGCGUAAAGCGAGCGCAGGUGGUUUAUUAAGUCUGGUGUAAAAGGCAGUGGCUCAACCAUUGUAUGCAUUGGAAACUGGUAGACUUGAGUGCAGGAGAGGAGAGUGGAAUUCCAUGUGUAGCGGUGAAAUGCGUAGAUAUAUGGAGGAACACCGGUGGCGAAAGCGGCUCUCUGGCCUGUAACUGACGCUGAGGCUCGAAAGCGUGGGGAGCAAACAGG
rnacentral:rRNA from 1 species